rnacentral:rRNA from 1 species
GACGAACGCUGGCGGCGUGCUUAACACAUGCAAGUCGAACGGAAAGGCCCUGCUUUUGUUGGGUGCUCGAGUGGCUAAAGUGUGAGUAACACGUGAGUAACCUGCCCUUGACUUUGGGAUAACUUCAGUAAACUGGGGCUAAUACCGGAUAUUAGCUCCUGCUGCAUGGUGGGGGUUGGAAAGUUUCGGCGGUUGGGGAUGGACUCGCGGCUUAUCAGCUUGUUGGUGGGGUAGUGGCUUACCAAGGCUGUGACGGGUAGCCGGCCUGAGAGGGUGACCGGCCACAUUGGGACUGAGAUACGGCCAAGACGCCGACGGGAGGAAGGAGUGGGGAAUAUUGCACAAUGGGCGGAAGCCUGAGGCAGCAACGCCGCGUGCGGGAUUACGGCCUUCGGGUUGUAAACCGCUUUCGCCUGUGACGAAGCGUGAGUGACGGUAAUGGGUAAAGAAGCACCGGCUAACUACGUG